CCUACGGGAGGCAGCAGUAGGGAAUCUUUCACAAUGGGCGAAAGCCUGAUGGAGCAACGCCGCGUGCAGGAUGACGGCCCUACGGUUGUAAACUGUCUUUAUACGCGAGAAAUAUGAUGGUAACUUUUGACUAAGGAUAGGUUAACUACGGGCCAGCAGCCGCGGUCAUACGUAGGAUCCGGGCAUUAUCCGGAGUGACUGGGUGUAAAGAGUUGCGUAGGUGGCAUAAUAAGUAGCUAGUGAAAACUGGAGGCGCAACAAUUCAGACUAUUAGCUAAACUGUUAAGCUCGAGACCGUUAGGUGUAACUGGAAUUUCUAGUGUAGGAGUGAAAUCCGUAGAUAUUAGAAAGAACACCGAUAGCGUAGGCAGGUUGCUGGGACGGUUCUGACACUAAGGCACGAAAGCGUAGGGAGCAAACGGGAUUAGAUACCCCUGUAGUC
rnacentral:rRNA from 1 species